GAGGAAAAUGGCUUUGCAUUUGUAAUUUGUGAUUUGUGUGUCCCCUCUUCCUGCUCUGCAUUCUACCCUCAGCCCCUGGCCCACAGCCUGGUACCCUGGAGCUCCAUAAAUACCUGUUGAGUGAAUGAGAGGAUGAAGGCUUCUGCAGAGAGAGAGUGGAAGAAAAGUGGCGUCUUUUGACUUCGGACUUGGCUUUCCUUGCAGAGGCCUCAGGGAGGAACAACACGGAAACAAAGAUGGCCUUGUCCUGGGCCCUUCCCUCCCUGCCCCACUGUCCUCCUCUGCAUCCUACAGCAGCCUGGGGGGAGGUGGAAAUGGGCCCCUUUGUUCUGCUUCCAGAAUUCCACUCCCACUGGGUGGAGGCCUGGCUGCAGCCCCCUCCUUCCUCUGCCAGUUCUUCCUAAUCCUGAGCGACUCGCCAAAGCCUUGGAUCUUCACACCGUGGGUCUCGCUGUGAGGACGGGCCUAAGCUCACAGGUAGCCUCAGAGACAGAUACGGGUGCAGAGGGAAGAGGGGGUCCCCACCUGUUACCUCCCAGUCCUCUUCAUCAGUGUCCCCAGGACCUAUCACACAGGACAAAUGAAACUGGGAGACGCCGUCUAGAGUGGGAACCCAGGUGAACACUAAUCCAGUGUGGGCUGCAGACCUGUUUUUCCCUGGUCCCUGACAUGAGUAAAUUCAGAAAAUGAGGAUCCCCAUGGCUCUCAGUCCUGGCAAGCCACAUGACAACGAAGGUGAAUGAGGAAACUGAGGCUCAGAAAUGGUGAGAGACUCAUCCUGGGUCACCCUCUGCAGAGACUCUAGAGCCUGGCUCUUUCAAGUCCAUCACCAAGUCCCCAGGAAGACUUCACUGGUGCAGGCUCAGGAGCACUGAAGAUGGAAAUUCAAAGCAUGUUCUGCUUUCAGGCUACAAAUAGGCCCUGAAGACUCACUCAGGUGGAAUGCAGCAGCAGAUACACCAUUGACCAGAGAAUCCUCCUCCUCCUGUACUGGAAAACUGUACCCUGUGACUGGGUACAGGGUUGCUGCCUGCAGAGGGGGAGAGAGGGAAGGGCCCUCCCCCAACCCUCUACAGCUGAGCACUGACUCAACCCCAAGCAUCGCCCGGCUCCACUUGAGUUUGGGUUUGGAAAUUCUUAGGAAAGGAAAUGAGUGGGGUUUGGGGGGGCUCUGCUUUAAGAAAUGCCCAUGUCAACCACGUCAAUGCCCAAGACCCCCUCAGUCUUCGGUUUUCUUUAAUAGGCUACAUCCCCAGAGUAAAAACCAGAUCCAUGUUCAAGAAAUAGGUUGGAGACUCCUUGAUCCCUGGCUCAAGCCAACUUCUGAGAACAGAGACACCCUGGAGUAGCGGAGGUGGGGUGGGGUGCACGGCCCCCUCCUGUAUUACAAAUCAAUUCACAAAGUAGCGAACCCAUCUUUGGACAGAAACCUCAACUGCAAUCAGACUUCUGUUUAUGACAGUAACUCGAGAAGCCUUUUCUCAAGGAGAUGCCAACGCAUGAAGUGGUUGUAUUUAUAGAAGUUAAACAAACCUCUUCUGAGAGGUCAUAAUACCUUACAGGAAAUGGGGAGCCUCUGUUGUGUGAAAACUCUGGAUAAAACUGGUCAUAAAAUAGUAACAAUCAUGAAUAUUCUUGCCUGCCUGCUUAAAAGAAAGAAAAUUACCAACUGAGGUUAAACCAUGAGUGUCUAUAAAGUUGAUUUAUACCGUGAAUCUAGAAAAGUUGGUCACAUUGUGAAAUAUUUUUGAUAGGACAUGUAUCUAAAUGUGAAUAAAUUCAGCCCUUUUGAAAAGGAAAGUGGACUGCACUCUGAUAUUGGUAAAAUUUCCAAAAAUAAAGGUGUUUGCCCAUUGGCAAUAUGAUUAUAGGGCUCUAGGCACGUAUUUUAGACUGGGCAAUGUCUUCUUUCUCACAAGACUGUUUUGCUUUAACUCCCUCCUUCGGCCUUCUUUCUAGAAAGUUUUGAAGGAUAAAGCCCUUGAUGAGAAGCUUGUCUGUUUUCUUCCAACCUGGAUUUGGCCAGAGGCUGUCUCAGGACUCAGAGAGACAAAUCCGAGGAUGCACCUAGAUCUUAAAGAGUGGAAAUAUCUGCAGUGAUGAGCAUUAUUAUGGUGAAGCAGAGAAGAGAAAGGAAAGCGAGGAGACAGGAAGGUCGGGAGUGCUCAGAGCACACUGCUGGAUGGCUCGGCUCCUAAACCCACAUGAGUCACUUUCCCUUUCUGCCACUGCAGAAACUAAAUCUGUCUGCUGCCUCCUCCUAGGUCAACAGAGUGCUCAUCCGCAACCUCAGUGUCAAAGAAUUCUUCUUAUUGGAGAGGGUAUUUCUCAUCCCCACCAUGAAAUAUCAGUCAUUUUUUACUGUCCUCCAAUGUACCCUCUACAGACAGCCUGAGACGGCGCUAAGAUUUUUGCAAAUGUGUCCUCAGGUACAGAAAGAACAUGUGUUUUGCUGCCAUAUCUCUUCAGCCUCUGUCAUUCUUGGCUCAUUUCCUGAAAGAUUAAGGAAGCCAUCCCAGCCCCUGAGGCUUUGAAAUUCCAGUAGAGGCCACUCCCUGAACACCAGAGAGGCCAAGCUGUCCCACAGGCCUAGCCCAGGCCACCUGUCACCCAGCUGACAUCCCCUCCAGCUUUGCAGUCAUCUCUGCCCCUGCCUGGGCAAGUGAGCUGGGGAGGGUAUAGACGUAGGGUUCAGGUAUAACUGAGGGACGAGUCAGCAGCUAAGCCACUGAAAAGAACACUAACAGUGUCUGGGUGGCAGCCCCACUGGUGACCUAUCUCAAAGUCACAUACCAUCACCCUGGACAUUAGAAAAUACUUCUCUAAAAACCUCAAGCUCAGCACCAAGUUAGUUUGAUAAGUCUCUACAUGUACUACAGGGAUUAAAAAAUAGAAAUUUCUGGCCCUCUGAAUAUGAAGCUAAAGACACUAGUAUUUCUGUGGAAUUAAGAGAUUCUCUUUCAAAAAGUUCAACAGAUGUUUGCUUAUCCUUUAAACUCAGCUUAAGUUCACUUCAUCCAGGAAGCCAUCUCUGACUGCCUUGCCACUCUGGGUUAGGUGUACCUUCUCUGUGCACCCAAAGUCCCUCUUUUGAAUAUUACCGUGAUCCUUCCAACACACAUUUUAAUGACCUAGACUGUGAGCUCCUUAAUGGUAGAGGAGGAAGCAGGUCUAGCUCAUUUUGAAUUCCAAUAACCCAGCACAGAGGAUUCCACGUUUGUUGAAUGAAUAAACGAAUGAAGUCAUUCUUU
rnacentral:lncRNA from 10 species